rnacentral:rRNA from 1 species
UGGGGAAUAUUGCACAAUGGAGGGAACUCUGAUGCAGCGACGCCGCGUGAACGAAGAAGGCUUUCUAUUCGUAAAGUUCUUUUAUAUGGGAAGAUAAUGACGGUACCAUAAGAAAAAGCCCCGGCUAACUACGUGCCAGCAGCCGCGGUAAUACGUAGGGGGCUAGCGUUGUCCGGAAUCACUGGGCGUAAAGGGUUCGCAGGCGGAAAUGCAAGUCAGAUGUAAAAGGCAGUAGCUUAACUACUGUAAGCAUUUGAAACUGCAUAUCUUGAGAAGAGUAGAGGUAAGUGGAAUUUUUAGUGUAGCGGUGAAAUGCGUAGAUAUUAAAAAGAAUACCGGUGGCGAAGGCGACUUACUGGGCUCAUUCUGACGCUGAGGAACGAAAGCGUGGGUAGCAAACAGG